ACGGAAGGCAGCAGUGGGGGAUAUUGCACAAUGGGGGAAACCCUGAUGCAGCGACGCCGCGUGAGUGAAGAAGUAUUUCGGUAUGUAAAGCUCUAUCAGCAGGGAAGAAAAUGACGGUACCUGACUAAGAAGCCCCGGCUAACUACGUGCCAGCAGCCGCGGUAAUACGUAGGGGGCAAGCGUUAUCCGGAUUUACUGGGUGUAAAGAGAGCGUAGACGGCGAUGCAAGUCUGAUGUGAAAGCCCGGGGCUCAACCCCGGCACUGCAUUGGAAACUGUGUUGCUAGAGUGCAGGAGAGGUAAGUGGAAUUCCUAGUGUAGCGGUGAAAUGCGUAGAUAUUAGGAGGAACACCAGAGGCGAAGGCGGCUUACUGGACUGUAACUGACGUUGAGGCUCGAAAGCGUGGGGAGCAAACAGGAUUAGAUACCCUGGUA
rnacentral:rRNA from 1 species